rnacentral:rRNA from 1 species
AUUGAACGCUGGCGGCAGGCCUAACACAUGCAAGUCGAGCGGAUGAAGGGAGCUUGCUCCUGGAUUCAGCGGCGGACGGGUGAGUAAUGCCUAGGAAUCUGCCUGGUAGUGGGGGAUAACGUCCGGAAACGGGCGCUAAUACCGCAUACGUCCUGAGGGAGAAAGUGGGGGAUCUUCGGACCUCACGCUAUCAGAUGAGCCUAGGUCGGAUUAGCUAGUUGGUGGGGUAAGGGCCUACCAAGGCGACGAUCCGUAACUGGUCUGAGAGGAUGAUCGGUCACACUGGAACUGAGACACGGUCCAGACUCCUACGGGAGGCAGCAGUGGGGAAUAUUGGACAAUGGGCGAAAGCCUGAUCCAGCCAUGCCGCGUGUGUGAAGAAGGUCUUCGGAUUGUAAAGCACUUUAAGGUGGGAGGAAGGGCAGUAAGUUAAUACCUUGCUGUUUUGACGUUACCAACAGAAUAAGCACCGGCUAACUUCGUG